rnacentral:rRNA from 1 species
AGCAGCCGCGGUAAUUCCAGCUCCAAUAGCGUAUAUUAAAGUUGUUGCAGUUAAAAAGCUCGUAGUUGAAUUUUGGGUCUGGCCGGGCGGUCCGCCCUCUGGGUGAGCACUGUUCCGACGCCGGGCCUAUCCUUCUGGUGAGUCGGCAUGUCCUUUAUUGGGUGUGUCGGGGAACCAGGACCAUUACCUUGAAAAAUUAGAGUGUUCAAAGCAGGCGUAUGCUCGAAUACAUUAGCAUGGAAUAAUGAAAUAGGACGCGUGGUGCUAUUUUGUUGGUUUCUAGAACCGCCGUAAUGAUUAAUAGGGAUAGUUGGGGGCAUUAGUAUUCAAUUGUCAGAAGUGAAAUUCUUGGAUUUAUUGAAGACUAACUUCUGCGAAAGCAUUUGCCAAGGAUGUUUUCAUUAAUCAAGAACGAAAGUUAGGGGAUCGAAGACGAUCAGAUACCGUCGUAGUCUUAACCAUAAACUAUGCCGACUAGGAAUCGGGCGAUGUUAUUCUCAUGACUCGCCCGGCGCCUU